GACGAACGCUGGCGGCGUGCUUAACACAUGCAAGUCGAACGGAAAGGCCCUGCUUGCAGGGUACUCGAGUGGCGAACGGGUGAGUAACACGUGGGUGAUCUGCCCUGCACUUCGGGAUAAGCCUGGGAAACUGGGUCUAAUACCGGAUAGGAGCCAUUUUUAGUGUGAUGGUUGGAAAGUUUUUUCGGUGUAGGAUGAGCUCGCGGCCUAUCAGCUUGUUGGUGGGGUAAUGGCCUACCAAGGCGGCGACGGGUAGCCGGCCUGAGAGGGUGGACGGCCACAUUGGGACUGAGAUACGGCCCAGACUCCUACGGGAGGCAGCAGUGGGGAAUAUUGCACAAUGGGCGCAAGCCUGAUGCAGCGACGCCGCGUGGGGGAUGACGGCCUUCGGGUUGUAAACUCCUUUCGCUAGGGACGAAGCUUUUUGUGACGGUACCCAGAUAAGAAGCGCCGGCUAACUACGUG
rnacentral:rRNA from 1 species